AAGAUCUUAGAUAUGAGAAGGCCAAUUUUUACUUUGAGCCGGGUGAAAAACCAACAAAAAAAACUUUUGAGUGUUAGUCAAUUUAAUUGAAGAUUGUAUAGCUAACUGGAGUUCACUUCACAAAAUAUUGGGGUUCAAUUCACUAUAUAGGAUGAAGGUUCAAAUCUUGAAGCUUUUGCAGCCAGGAGCUUUUACCGUUCUUUUUUGGAAGGACAUUGUUUGGUUAAAGUCAAUUUCAGAGUUGUCAACUUUGAUAAAGGGUGUAUUGACAAGUAAAGAUGGCAAGACUAUGAGUUUAUCAUGUUUAUGGGAAAAAUGGGAUUUUAGCAAAGCUAAACAGGUUUUUAGUUAUAUAAACAAAAGGGGUUAUCCACCAACUGUUAUAUCUAAUACUACCCUUAAGGAGAUUGAUCAAGAUCAUCGAGUGAUUCUCAAUAAUGAGAUGAUUGUUCUUUAGUUUCUUGGAUUUGAUCUUAUUGUCUAUUCUUCAGACCUCUCAAUUGACGGUUUUAUCGAUGAUAUGGAGAUUAAAUUUUAAUUUUUUACGUUUUUUAUAACUCUGCAAAUACUUUCUUUAUUUUCGUUUCUUCUACUUCUUAUUUGGAUUUUAUUUAUUCAAAUAAUGGUUAACUUUAACAUUUGAAGGUGCUUCUUACCUCUAUCCUCUUAAAUAUAUUGUAAAUUUAUCCGAUCUUUAUUUUUUGAUAAAUAAUGUUUGUGUCUUUUUAUAGAAUUUACACGAGACAACAAAAAUGGUUGCAGAUAGAAUGAUGUUUUCAGAGGCACCUCUUUUGUUUUAUCCUUGACAGCUUGCACCGGCUACUUUGUGUAUAUCUAAUGAGGAGCAUCAAGUUGCUGACUUUGAAAGGUUUACCCAAAAAGCUUUGAACUACCUGUUCUUGAAGAGAAAUAGUGUAACGCCCGCAGAUUCAGGCUAGUCAAUAGAGACAAUGAGCGUCAAAAAUGACAUUUUUGAUAUAAGAUAAUUUAAAAUAAAUAAUCUUUCCCAAGUUAUAGUAUAUGUCACAAAGGUUCCGUACAUAUAAAGAACGCUGAAAUCCGAGUUAUAACAAAGAAGUUAUGACCCGUCGAAGUUUUACGGCUAAACCGGCACGACACCAGGAAUCGUAAAAAGUGAAUUUACGAUAAAAUACUUUUUAGCCUUAGCGACCUAAACGAAAUUCGUAGUAUAUGUUAAACCGAGAGUGUGCAUAAAAAGAACGUCCAAAUCUGACUUCGUAUGAGGAAGUUGUGAUUUUUCUAAGAUUUAGCAUAGCAGUGCACAACUCGAAAUUUGAAUGUUAGAUCGGUCGAUUUUUAGACAAAAUAAUCUAAACGAUAAAUGAAGAUAUCGUUAAUAGGAGUUAAACGAUAAAAAGGCAGUCGAAAACGGAGCUCGUAUGCGAAAGAUAUGGACGAAGCUUAGUCCCUACUCUUCGACCGCGACGAAUUCGAUACAGUUUUGUAAAUCUGAGAUAGAGUAAGAAUUAGCCGACGGGAUCUGAAUGAAAGUUGUAGUAAUUGUAAAUACCAACAUGUUGAUAUAAAGAACGUCGAUAAUAGAGCUCGUAUGCGAAAGAUAUGGACGAAACUUAGUCCUUACUCUUCGAGCGCGAUAAAUUCGAUACAGUUUUGCAAAUCGGAGAUAGAAUGAGAAUUAGCCGACGAGGUCUAAAUGAAAGUUGUAGUACUCAUAAAUACCAACGCGUGUAUAUAAAGAACGUAGAAAAUGGAGCUUGUACGCGGUAGAUACAGAUGAAACUUAGGGCCUACUCUACGAGAA